UACGAAGGGUGCAAGCGUUAGUCGGAAUUAUUGGGCGUAAAGCGCACGUAGGCGGUUCGUUAAGUCGGAUGUGAAAGCCCUCGGCUCAACUGAGGAAGUGCACCCGAAACUGGCGAGCUUGAGUACGAAAGAGGAUCGCGGAAUUCCCGGUGUAGAGGUGAAAUUCGUAGAUAUCGGGAGGAACACCGGUGGCGAAGGCGGCGAUCUGGGUCGAUACUGACGCUGAGGUGCGAAAGCGUGGGGAGCGAACAGG
rnacentral:rRNA from 1 species